CAAUGGUUAGAACUCAUGUUCCCCUCUAUUUUCUCUUUGAAUUUUCUUUUGUGACGGACGGGACUUGCAAAGCCAAUAACUUGUUGAUUGGCAUGCCAAUUGGAGAUGAUUUGAGGACUUCUUACGUGUUUGGUAGAAGGACAUGAGAGGUCAAGGAGUUUCCAUUGGGACAUUAGGACAUGCUCCUCCAUCUCCUCCGCUGGACGACAUCCAACAUCGCUAGGUUGUUAUAAUUCAUCAAAGGCGGCUACUGAGUAUACAUACCGUGUUUAUCUCGCCUGCCUUCUUAGGAAAAAUCCUAUACUCAAGGUAUCAUCCGAAGGGGCGACAUACCCAAUUCUCGGAUUCCUCAAGCAAUAGAUGUAGUGUUGUCAGUCUUUGAAGAUGCGAAUCUGUCUGCUCCUAGGCAACAACAGAGGGAUGAUUGGGAUGUAAAAAAGCCAUAGUGUAUUGAGGCUUAGUGGAGUCAGUCACUAGCCUCUCCAUUGUUUGAACAACAGCAUCAAGCGGCGCCAAAACAUGUCAGUUACUUCCAUCUUGGGCAUAGCCAACCUUAUUGGUGGACCGGCUCUCAUUUUUCAGAAUAUUGCUGAUCUGAGAGACAUCCGAGACAUGAACGAGGAAAAAAUGAGAAGGUCGGCCAC